AAUGAAUGAAUGAAUGAAUGGGGGUGUC
rnacentral:piRNA from 1 species